GGAUUGUUUCUGUAUUUGUAAUUAAGUUUAUUUGUAUCAUUUUUUUCAGAUUCCACAUAUAAGUGAUAUCACAUGGUAUUUAUCUUUCUAAGUCUGACUUACCUAACUUAGAAUGGUAAUCUCUAGCCCAUACAUGUUGCUGAAAAUGACAUUAUUUCAUUCUUUUCUAUGGGUAAUAUUCCACUGUAUGUAUAUACCACAACUUCUUUAUCUAUCACUCUGUGGUUGGAUAUUUAGGUUGCUUCCAUAUCCUAACUAUUAUAAACAGUGCUGCAGUGAACAUCAAGCUGCAUGUAUAUUUUCAAAUUACGGUUUUCUCUUUUUUCCAUUGUAUAUUCUUGCCUCAUCUGUCAAAGAUUAUUUAUUUAUUUAUUUAUUUAUUUAUUUAUUUAUUGUCUUUUUCCCUUUUCUAGGGCCACUCCCACAGCAUAUGGAGGUUCCCAGAAUAGGGGUCUAAUCGGAGCUGUAGCUGCCGGCCCACGCCAGAGCCACAGCAUUGUGGGAUCCAAGCUGCGUCUGCGACCUACACCACAGCUCACAGCAACACUGGAUCCUAAAGCCACUAAGCAAGGCCAGGGACUGAACCGGCAACCUCAUUGUUCCUACUCAGAUUCGUUAACCACUGUGCCACAACGGAAACUCCUCAUUUGUCAAAGAUUAAUUCACUAUAGGUGAGUGGUUUAUUUCUGGGCUUUCUAUUCCGUAACAUUGAUCUAUAUUUCUGUUUUUAUGCCAGUACCAUGUUCUUUUGUUGACUGUAGCUUUGUAAUAUAGCUUGAAGUCAGGGAGCCUGAUUCUUCCAGUUCCAUUUUUCUUUCUCAGGAUUUGCUCUGGCUAUCCAGGGUCUUUUGUGUUUUUAUAUAAAUUAAAGGAAAAAAUUCUAGUUCUAUGAAAAUCUUCAUUAGUAAUUUGAUAGCAAUUGCACACAAUCUGUGGAUAGCUUUGGUAGUAUAGCCAUUUUGAUGAUAUUGAUUCUUCCAAUUCUUCUAUUUGUGCCAUCUUCAAUUUCUUUCAUCAGUGACUUAUGUUUUUCCUCCCUAGGUAGGUUUAUUCCAAGAUAUUUUAUCUUUUUGAUGUGAUGGUAAAUGGGAUUGUUUCCUUAAUUUAUCUUUCUGCUCUUUUGUUGUUAGUGUAUAAAAAUGCAAUGGGUUUCUGUAUAUUAAAUUUGUAUCCUUCAGCUUUACUGAAUUCACUCAUAAGCACUAGUAGUUUUCUGGGGAUGUUAUUAGAAUGUUCUAUGUUUAAAAUCAUGUCAUCUGCAAACAGUGACAGUUUUACUUGUUUUCCUGUUUAGAUUGCUUUUAUUUGUCUUCUUGUAUGAGGGCUACAGGUAAGAUGUCCAAAACUAUGUUGAAUAAAGUGCCAAGAGUAAGCAUGCUUGUCUUCUUCCUGAUCUUAGAGGAAAUGCUUUCAGCUUUUCACCAUUGAUAUGAUGUUAUCUGUGGUUUGGUCACAUAUGUCUUUAUUAUGUUGAGGUAGUUUCCCUCUACGGCACUUUCUCAGGAGAGCCUUUAUCAUACAUGGAUAUUGAAUUUUAUCAAAACCCUCUCUGCCUCUAUUGAGAUUAUCAUGUUUUUUUCUCAAUCUGUUACUAUGAUGUAUCACAUUAAGUUAUUUGUGGAUAUGGAAAAAUCCUUCCAUCCACAGGAUAAAUACCACUUGAUCAUGGUGAAUGAUAAUUUUUUUGUGGUUUUCUAGAUUUGGUUUUCUAGAAUUUUGUUGAGGGUUUCUGCAUCUAUGUUCAUCAGUAAUACUGGCCUGUAAUUUUCUUUUCUGUGAUAUCUUUAUCUGCUUUUGGUAUCAGGGUCUCAGAAUGAGUUUCAAAGUGUUCAUUCUGCUGCAAUGUUUUGGAACAGUUUCAGAAGGAUAGGUGUUACUCUGCCAUCAUUUUAAAAAAAAAAGUUAUUACCUGAAACAAAGCUAGACAUAUAAAAGGUAUAGAUUGAAUGUUUCUUGGAAGUAUAAAUGAGCAGUAAAUGACAAGAGGUCUUAGAAAAAGAAGCUAAGUGGAAAUCUUCUAAUGAUAUCAGCUUGUUAUUUUAGAUAAAUUUUUAAGUGUUUCUCUGAUUCAAAUAACUUUUUACUGGAUCAAAUGGUAGUUCUAUGUUUAGUUUUCUGAGGAAUCUCCAUACUGCUUUCCACAGUGGUUGCACCAAUUUACAAUCCCACCAACAGUGUAUUAGGGUUCCUUUUUCUCCACACCCUCUCCAGCACUUAUUGCUUGUAGACUUUGGGAUGAUGGCCAUUCUGGCUGGUACAAGGUGGUACCUCAGAGUGGUUUUGAUGUGCAUUUCUCUAAUAAUGAGUGAUGUUGAACAUCUUCUCAUGUAUUUCUCGGCCAUCUGUAUGUCUUCUUUGGAGAACUGUCUGUUUAGAUCUUCUGCCCACUUUUUGAUAGAGUUGUUUGCUUUUUUUCGUAUGGAGCUGUGGAAGGUGUCUAUAAAUUUUGGAGAUUAAUCCCUUGUCAGUCAAUUCACUUGGAAAGAUUUUCUCCCAUUCUGUGGGUUGUCUUUUCAUUUCAUCUAGGGUUUCCUUUGCUAUGAAGAAACUUUUAAGUUUGAUUAGGUCCCAUUUGUUUAUUUCUGUUUUUACUGUCAUUACUCUAAGAGGUGGAUCUGAGAAGAUAUUGUGUCAUUUAUGUCAGAGAGUGUUUGGCCUAUGUUUUCCUCUAGGAGUUUGAUAGUGUCUUUAAUCCACUUGGAGUUUAUUUUUGUGUAUGGUGUUAGGGAGUGUUCUAAUUUCAUUCUUUUCCAUGUGGCUGUCCAGUUUUCCCAGCACCACUUAUUGAACAAGCUCUCUGUUCUCCAUUGUAUAUUCCUGCCUCCUUUGUCAUAGAUUAGUUGGCUGUAGGUGCGUGGGUUGAAUUCUGGGCUUUCUAUCCUGUUCCACUGAUCUAUAUUUCUGUCUUUGUGCCAGUGCCAUGCGGUUUUGAUGAUUGUUGCUUUGGAGUAUAGUCUGAAGUCUGGGCGCCUGAUUCCUCCACUUCAUUUCUCUUUUUCAGGAUGGCUUUGGCUAUUCUGGGUCUUCUGUGCUUCCAAAGAAACUUUAAAAUAUUUUGUUUGAGUUCUGUGAAAAAUGUCCUUGGUAAUUUGAUAGGGAUUGCAUUGAAUCUGUAGAUUGCCUUAGGUAGUACAGUCAUUUUGAUAAUAUUAACUCUUCCAAUCCACGAGCAUGAUAUAUCUUUCCAUCUAUUUGUGUCAUCUUUGAUUUCUUUCAUCAGUGUCUUAUAGUUUUCAGAGUACAGGUCUUUUGUCUCUUUAGGUAGGUUUACUCCUAGGUAUUUUAUUCUGUUGGAUGUGAGGGUAAAUGGGAUUGCUUCCCUAAUUUCUCUUUUUUCUCUUUCAUUGUUAGUGUAUAGAAAUGCCGUUGAUUUCUGUGUAUUGAUUUUGUAUCCUGCGACUUUGCCAAAUCCAUGGAUGAGCUCUAACAGUUUUCUGGUAGAGUCUUUAGAAUUCUCUACAUAUAGUACCAUGUCACCUGCAAAUAGGGAUAGUUUUACUUCUUCCUUUUCUAUUUGGAUUCCUUUUAUUUCUUUUAUUUCUCUGAUUGCUGUGGCUAGGACUUCCAGAACUAUGUUGAAGAGUAGUGGUGAGAGCAGAUAUCCUUGUCUUGUUCCUGAUCUCAGUGGGAAUUCCUUCAGCUUUUCACCAUUGAGAAUGAUGUUAGUUAUGGGUUCGUCAUAUAUGGCGUUUAUCAUGUUGAGGUAGGUUCCCGCUAUGCCCAGUUUCUGAAGGGUUUUUAUCAGCAAUGGGUGUUGGAUUUUGUCAAAGGUUUUUUCCACAUCUAUUGAGAGGAUCAUAUGGUUUUUAUUCUUCAGUUUGUUAAUGUGGUGUA
rnacentral:lncRNA from 1 species